rnacentral:rRNA from 1 species
GACGAACGCUGGCGGCGUGCCUAAUACAUGCAAGUCGAGCGCUGAAGGGAGGUACUUGUACCAACUGGAUGAGCAGCGAACGGGUGAGUAACGCGUGGGGAAUCUGCCUAUGAGCGGGGGACAACUUCUGGAAACGAAUGCUAAUACCGCAUAAAAACUUUAAACACAAGUUUCAAGAUUGAAAGACGCAAUUGCAUCACUUAAAGAUUAGACCGCGUUGUAUUAGCUAGUUGGUGAGGUAAAGGCUCACCAAGGCGAUGAUGCAUAGCCGACCUGAGAGGGUGAUCGGCCACACUGGAACUGAGACACGGCCCAGACUCCUACGGGAGGCAGCAGUAGGGAAUCUUCCGCAAUGGGCGAAAGUCUGACCGAGCAACGCCGCGUGAGUGAUGAAGGUUUUCGGAUCGUAAAACUCUGUUGGUAGGGAAGAACGUAGGUGAAAGUAGAUGGCCCCAUAUUGACCGUAACCAAUCAGAAAGCGACGGCCAACUUCGUG